AUGGCCGACCGUACUGAAACACCACGUUUUAUCACCGAAAACGGGGUAAACACACGCGAAACGCGUCGGUAUCCCGCACAACCGAAGCGCGGAGCCGGGAGGCAACAAAGAAAAGAGAAACUAAAAGAGAUCUCCGGGCGCUUUGUUCGCGCGCCGCACAUAAACCACAGCGAUAAGGCGGACAGGAAAAGUUUCGCCCGUUCCGCAACGGCUCACACGGCGCUCCGGGAACGGCGGACAAAGCCCUGCCGGCACCGUCCGUCAGAACGCGGCGCCGCGGGGGGCGGGCAGGAGCGCAGCGAGGCGCAGCGCAACGCCGCGCAGCCCCGCACGACGGCGGCCGCUCGCCCCGGCUUCUGGUCUGCAAGCACGACCGCAGCCCGAGCCCUCGGAAGGGAAGCGGCGGCGGCCGCCCGGUCCCGCCCUCCGCACAGCCGCGCUCAUCACAAAGCCCCGCGCCGCCGGCGCUCCCUCGGCCCGAACAAAGCCCCCGCCCCGCUCCGCCCCGCCGCCGCCGCCCGCUCCCACCUCGGCGCCGCGAGCACACAAAGGCGGCCGGCCCGCCGCGCAGGCCCCGCGCCGCCCCGCCACAACAUGGCCCCCUCCCGCCCUCGCUCCCCUCCCUCGCCGCAGACAAAAGGGGGCUGGAAGGAAGAAGGGGGGCGGCCCGCCCCGCCCGCCCGCGGCCUACCCCCCGCGGCCCCGCCGCUACUCACGGGCUGGCUGGCGGCGCCGCUCGCCGCGACGGAGCCGGAGCCGGAGCCGGAGCCGGAGCGGGCCCUGGGACACCGCCGCCCGCCCGCCGCCCCCCGCUCCUCUCGGCGCCUCUCCUUCCGGCCUCCCCUCCCCCCCCCUCGGCCGCGAGGGGCUCACAACAACAUGGCGGGAGGGCGCGCGCGGAGGGAGAGGGAAAGCGAGAGCGCGGCAAAGCUCCCCCCGCCGCCACCGCCGCCGCUCGCCCCUGCCGCCGCCACAGCGCAUGCGCGCCCCGCGCCGGGAGGAGGCGGGGAGGCGGCCCCCGGCCCCUUCCGCCGCGCACCGCGCAUGCGCCGCCCGCCGGCGUCCGUCCUCCCCUCGGAGCGGCCCUUGCCGCCGGGCCGCGCGUCUCUGCUCUGCCCUCGGGCUGUGCGGCCGCCGCUGCUCUCGGGACGUUUUCGACGUUAUCGGCUUCCCAGAGGGAAGGCCGCGGAGCGGGGAAGGGCGCGUUGUUCAUACAGUCAACAGUAA
rnacentral:lncRNA from 1 species